rnacentral:rRNA from 1 species
UAGCGUAGGGGGCAAGCGUUGUCCGGAAUCGAUUGGGCGUAAAGAGCGUGUAGGCGGCUCGGUAAGUCCGCUGUGAAAGUCCAGGGCUCAACCCUGGAAUGCCGGUGGAAACUGUCGAGCUAGAGUCCGGAAGAGGCGAGUGGAAUUCCUGGUGUAGCGGUGAAAUGCGCAGAUAUCAGGAGGAACACCAAUGGCGAAGGCAGCUCGCUGGGACGGUACUGACGCUGAGGCGCGAAAGCGUGGGGAGCGAACAGG